rnacentral:ribozyme from 1 species
CAGAAAAGCGAAGCGAAGAAUCGUUACAAAUUCUGUGAUAGCCUUUCUAUAGAGAUAAAGAACGAACGAACAAACAUAAAAAAGAUCUCCCGUAUAUUGUGAUUGAUUGGUCUCACACAUACGUAUAUACCUACGA